AAGAUCAUUUCCAAAAGAUGGUCGGCGUCGGCAGCCACCUCGCUCGAAUCCUCAUCGUCCUCAUCCAAAAAGGUAUCAGAUCGCACCGUCAAACUGUUCGCGAUUGAUCCGGAGGGCACGAAGAAAGAGGUCGUCGGAUUAACCGGCCAGACUCUUCUGAAGGCGCUCGCCAAUCGGGGCCUGAUCGACCCCGAAUCCCAUCGAUUGGAAGACAUCGACGCCUGUUCGGCGGAAUGCGAGGUCAGUAUCGCCCAGGAGUGGCUCGAGAAGCUCCCGCCGCGGUCCUACGACGAGGAGUAUGUGCUCAAGAGAAACUCCAGGGCUAGGGUUUUGAACAAGCACUCGAGGCUUGGCUGCCAGGUUAUUCUCACUCCCGACCUUCAAGGUAUGGUCGUUGCAGUUCCCGAGCCCAAACCUUGGGACAUUCCUUAAUUUUUACUCGUUUUUGGAACACUGGAUCUUUGUUCUUCGGCUUAUUUGGAUGUUUGUUUAUUUAAUAAUUUG
rnacentral:misc_RNA from 1 species